rnacentral:rRNA from 1 species
CCUACGGGUGGCAGCAGUGAGGAAUAUUGGUCAAUGGGCGCGAGCCUGAACCAGCCAAGUAGCGUGAAGGAUGACUGCCCUACGGGUUGUAAACUUCUUUUAUAUGGGAAUAAAACAGGGUAUGCAUACCCUCUUGUAUGUACCAUAUGAAUAAGGAUCGGCUAACUCCGUGCCAGCAGCCGCGGUAAUACGGAGGAUCCGAGCGUUAUCCGGAUUUAUUGGGUUUAAAGGGAGCGUAGGUGGAUUGUUAAGUCAGGUGUUAAAGUUUGCGGCUCAACCGUAAAAGUGCAGUUGAAACUGGCAGUCUUGAGUAGAGUAGAGGUGGGCGGAAUGCGUGGUGUAGCGGUGAAAUGCUUAGAUAUCACGAAGAACUCCGAUUGCGAAUGCAGCUCACUGGACUGAAACUGACACUGAUGCACGAAAGUGUGGGUAUCAAACAGGAUUAGAUACCCGAGUAGUC